AUGUUCUUGAUCUUCAGGUCCUGCAGGAGAUGGGGGAGUCACCACCAGGCCACCACGAGGUCACCACGAGGUCUGGGAUCCACCAGGAUCCACCAAAACUGUGGUGGACACCAUGGGAUCCUCUGGUGGCUUUGUCCUGAACCUGGAGCCAACCUGGAGUUCCCUCAGCCUGGUGGGAUCUCAGCAGGUUCUCAAGGUCCCUCAGCCUGGUGGGAUCUCAGCAGGUUCUCCCAGAUCCAACCCUGGAGUCCUCCAGGUCCCUCAGCCUGGUGGGAUCUCAGGAGGUUCUCCCAGAUCCAGCCACGAGGUCUGGGAUCCACCAGAACCAUGGUGGACACCAUGGGAUCCUCCAAGGGCUUUGUCCUGAGGACCUGGAGCCAACCUGGUGGGAUCUCAGGAGCUUCUGAAGGUCCCUCAGCCUGGUGGGAUCUCAGGGGCUUCUCCAGGUCCCUCAGCCUGGUGGGAUCUCAGGGGCUUCUCCAGGUCCCUCAGCCUGGUGGGAUCUCAGGAGCUUUGCCCAGACCCAACCCUGGAGCUCCCCAGCUCCCUCAGCCUGGUUUUUUGCCCCAAAUUUGGGGUUUUUUUCCCCAAAACUUGGGGGGUUUUUCGCCCCAAAUUUGGGGUUUUUUUUACCAAAAAUUAGGAUUUUUUUUCCCCAAAUCUGGGAAUUUUUUUUUUCCCCAAAAACUGGGAAAUUUUUGUCCAAAAUUUGGGCAUUUUUUCUCCAAAAUUUGUUUUUUCCCCCAAAACUUAGGGUUUUUUUUUUUCCCCAAAAUCUGUGGGGUUUUUUUUCCCAAAAAUUUGGAUUCUUUUUGCCCAAAAUUUUGGGGUUUUUACCACAAAAUAAAGUUGGUUUAUUUUUUCCAAAAUUUCGGGGUUUUUUUUCCCCAACAUUUAGUUUUUUUUUUUCCAUAAUUUGAGGUUUUUUCCCCCAGAUCUGGGAAUUUUUUGCCGAAAAUUUGGGAUUUUUUUUUUUUUGCCCAAAAUUUGGUGGUUUUUGCCCAAAAUUCGGCGGUUUUUGCCCAAAAUUUGGGGGUUUUUUACCCGAUUUUUUUUUUUUCCCCCCAAAAUUGGAAUUUUCCUCGUUACCUUUUUGGGGGCCACGGGCGUUUUGGGCUCCGGUUUCUGCCGCUCCUUGUCCGGGGCGGGCGGCGUCGGCUCCGGGGCGGAUCACGGCCCGAGCCCCUCCCCCCUCCAGGGGCUUCAGCUCCGGCCCUGCAACCCCAGAAAUUCGGGAUUUUGGGGGGGAUGGACCCAAAAAUGGGGAUUUUGGGGGUUUGGAACAAAAAAAUUGGGAAUUUUGGGGGUUUAUGGC
rnacentral:lncRNA from 1 species